rnacentral:rRNA from 1 species
GCCAGCAGAUAUAUCAUCCUGCAGCUCACAGCUGGCAGCCCCACUGCAGCUCAGCAGGUGUGAGCCUGGCCAGUACCUGGAUGGGAGACCUCCUGGGGAAAGCUAGGGUUGCUGCUGGAA